rnacentral:rRNA from 1 species
GAAGCAACAAAUGCCCUGCUUCCAGGAAAAGCCUCUAAGCAUCAGGUAACAUCAAAUCGUACCCCAAACCGACACAGGUGGUCAGGUAGAGAAUACCAAGGCGCUUGAGAGAACUCGGGUGAAGGAACUAGGCAAAAUGGUGCCGUAACUUCGGGAGAAGGCACGCUGACACGUAGGUGAAGUGAUUUACUCAUGGAGCUGAAGUCAGUCGAAGAUACCAGCUGGCUGCAACUGUUUAUUAAAAACACAGCACUGUGCAAACACGAAAGUGGACGUAUACGGUGUGACGCCUGCCCGGUGCCGGAAGGUUAAUUGAUGGGGUCAGCGCAAGCGAAGCUCCUGAUCGAAGCCCCGGUAAACGGCGGCCGUAACUAUAACGGUCCUAAGGUAGCGAAAUUCCUUGUCGGGUAAGUUCCGACCUGCACGAAUGGCGUAAUGAUGGCCAGGCUGUCUCCACCCGAGACUCAGUGAAAUUGAACUCGCUGUGAAGAUGCAGUGUACCCGCGGCAAGACGGAAAGACCCCGUGAACCUUUACUAUAGCUUGACACUGAACAUUGAGCCUUGAUGUGUAGGAUAGGUGGGAGGCUUUGAAGUGUGGACGCCAGUCUGCAUGGAGCCGGCCUUGAAAUACCACCCUUUAAUGUUUGAUGUUCUAACGUGGACCCGUGAUCCGGGUUGCGGACAGUGUCUGGUGGGUAGUUUGACUGGGGCGGUCUCCUCCUAAAGAGUAACGGAGGAGCACGAAGGUUGGCUAAUCCUGGUCGGACAUCAGGAGGUUAGUGCAAUGGCAUAAGCCAGCUUGACUGCGAGCGUGACGGCGCGAGCAGGUGCGAAAGCAGGUCAUAGUGAUCCGGUGGUUCUGAAUGGAAGGGCCAUCGCUCAACGGAUAAAAGGUACUCCGGGGAUAACAGGCUGAUACCGCCCAAGAGUUCAUAUCGACGGCGGUGUUUGGCACCUCGAUGUCGGCUCAUCACAUCCUGGGGCUGAAGUAGGUCCCAAGGGUAUGGCUGUUCGCCAUUUAAAGUGGUACGCGAGCUGGGUUUAGAACGUCGUGAGACAGUUCGGUCCCUAUCUGCCGUGGGCGCUGGAGAACUGAGGGGGGCUGCUCCUAGUACGAGAGGACCGGAGUGGACGCAUCACUGGUGUUCGGGUUGUCAUGCCAAUGGCACUGCCCGGUAGCUAAAUGCGGAAGAGAUAAGUGCUGAAAGCAUCUAAGCACGAAACUUGCCCCGAGAUGAGUUCUCCCUGAGACUUUAGGUCUCCUGAAGGAACGUUGAAGACGACGACGUUGAUAGGCCGGGUGUGUAAGCGCAGCGAUGCGUUGAGCUAACCGGUACUAAUGAACCGUGAGGCUUAACCUU